UACGGAAGGCAGCGGUGGGGAAUAUUGCACAAUGGGCGCAAGCCUGAUGCAGCCAUGCCGCGUGUAUGAAGAAGGCCUUCGGGUUGUAAAGUACUUUCAGUCGUGAGGAAGGUGUUAAGGUUAAUAACCUUAGCAAUUGACGUUAGCGACAGAAGAAGCACCGACUAACUCCGUGCCAGCAGCCGCGGUAAUACGGAGGGUGCGAGCGUUAAUCGGAAUUACUGGGCGUAAAGGGCACGCAGGCGGUUAAUUAAGUUGGAUGUGAAAUCCCCGGGCUUAACCUGGGAAUGGCAUUCAAGACUGGUUAGCUAGAGUCUUGUAGAGGGGGUAGAAUUCCAUGUGUAGCGGUGAAAUGCGUAGAGAUGUGGAGGAAUACCGGUGGCGAAGGCGGCCCCUGGACAAAGACUGACGCUCAUGUGCGAAAGCGUGGGGAGCAAACAGGGAUUUAGAUACC
rnacentral:rRNA from 1 species